rnacentral:rRNA from 1 species
GAUGAACGCUAGCGGCAGGCCUAAUACAUGCAAGUCGAGGGGUAGAAGAGGCUUGCUUCUUUGAGACCGGCGCACGGGUGCGUAACGCGUAUGCAACCUACCUUCAUCUGGGGGAUAGCCUGGAGAAAUCCGGAUUAAUACCGCAUAAAAUCACAGGAUGGCAUUAUCCAAUGAUCAAACAUUUAUGGGAUGGAGAUGGGCAUGCGUGUCAUUAGCUAGUUGGCGGGGUAACGGCCCACCAAGGCGACGAUGACUAGGGGAUCUGAGAGGAUGGCCCCCCAAACUGGUACUGAGACACGGACCAGACUCCUACGGGAGGCAGCAGUAAGGAAUAUUGGUCAAUGGAGGCAACUCUGAACCAGCCAUGCCGCGUGCAGGAAGACUGCCCUAUGGGUUGUAAACUGCUUUUAUUCGGGAAUAAACCUUAUUACGUGUAAUAAGCUGAAUGUACCGAAGGAAUAAGGAUCGGCUAACUCCGUGCCAGCCGCCGCCGUAACAC